UCUUCGUACCUUGAAAACAAAUAAAACAAUGCGAUUCUUAUCUUCCCCAAAAUCAUAUAUAUUAUUAUACUUUCUUCUUGUUGAUUUCAUCCCUAAAAUCCCAAAUUAAUUUCAACUAUCAAGUUGAUUGCAUCCCCAAAAUCCCAAUUGAUUCUUCCCCAAAUUGAUUCUACUUCUCAUAAUCGAUUCUCCUCGAACAGAAAACACAACCGGCGGAUGAUUCAGCUCAGGAACCCUAAUCUGUUAAGUUGAAGAAACGCGAUUCCACCCUUCAUCUCGACAAAACGCUAUUCCUUCCGAUUCUAUUCUCGCAAGAAGAUAAAUAAUGAUGAUAUCGAAGAAGAAAUGAAAGAUCAUGAAGAAGAAGAAGAGAGCUAGAUGUUUAUGUUUUUUUAAUAGGAUAUACAUUUUGAAGAUGUUAGUUUGAUGGUGAAUGCACAUAAUUGUGAUAUACAUUUCAUGUUAGUUUGAUAUAUGGUGAAUGCACAUUUGGAUAUACAUUUAAGAUGUUAGUUUCAUUUUGAAGAUGCAUGGUCUAUUUCAUUUUGAAGAUGUUAGUUUGAUUGUGAAUGAUUGACAAUAUUAGGACAACGUUAUGUUGAUCGAUGUUAUUAUUUUGAUAUAUAUGAAUGAUAAUCAUUUUAGUUUAAUUUGUAUGUCUUUUAUUAUUGGAUUACAUUGAAAUUAUUGUUCUUUA